GAAUUGACGGGGGCCCGCACAAGCGGUGGAGCAUGUGGUUUAAUUCGAUGCAACGCGAAGAACCUUACCUGGUCUUGACAUCCACGGAAGUUUUCAGAGAUGAGAAUGUGCCUUCGGGAACCGUGAGACAGGUGCUGCAUGGCUGUCGUCAGCUCGUGUUGUGAAAUGUUGGGUUAAGUCCCGCAACGAGCGCAACCCUUAUCCUUUGUUGCCAGCGGUCCGGCCGGGAACUCAAAGGAGACUGCCAGUGAUAAACUGGAGGAAGGUGGGGAUGACGUCAAGUCAUCAUGGCCCUUACGACCAGGGCUACACACGUGCUACAAUGGCGCAUACAAAGAGAAGCGACCUCGCGAGAGCAAGCGGACCUCAUAAAGUGCGUCGUAGUCCGGAUUGGAGUCUGCAACUCGACUCCAUGAAGUCGGAAUCGCUAGUAAUCGUGGAUCAGAAUGCCACGGUGAAUACGUUCCCGGGCCUUGUACACACCGCCCGUCACACCAUGGGAGUGGGUUGCAAAAGAAGUAGGUAGCUUAACCUUCGGGAGGGCGCUUACCACUUUGUGAUUCAUGACUGGGGUGAAGUCGUAACAAGGUAACCGUAGGGGAACCUGCGGUUGGAUCACCUCCUUACCUUAAAGAAG
rnacentral:rRNA from 1 species